rnacentral:rRNA from 1 species
GGGUUGUGAGGUUAAGCGACUAAGCGUACACGGUGGAUGCCCUGGCAGUCAGAGGCGAUGAAGGACGUGCUAAUCUGCGAAAAGCGUCGGUAAGGUGAUAUGAACCGUUAUAACCGGCGAUGUCCGAAUGGGGAAACCCAGUGCAAUUCGUUGCACUAUCGUUAACUGAAUACAUAGGUUAACGAGGCGAACCGGGGGAACUGAAACAUCUAAGUACCCCGAGGAAAAGAAAUCAACCGAGAUUCCCCCAGUAGCGGCGAGCGAACGGGGAGCAGCCCAGAGUCUGAAUCAGCUUGUGUGUUAGUGGAACGGUCUGGAAAGUCCGACGGUACAGGGUGAUAGUCCCGUACACCAAAAUGCACAGGUUGUGAACUCGAAGAGUAGGGCGGGACACGUGGUAUCCUGUCUGAAUAUGGGGGACCAUCCUCCAAGGCUAAAUACUCCUGACUGACCGAUAGUGAACCAGUACCGUGAGGGAAAGGCGAAAAGAACCCCGGCGAGGGAGUGAAAAAGAACCUGAAACCGUGUACGUACAAGCAGUGGGAGCACCUUCGGGUGUGACUGCGUACCUUUUGUAUAAUGGGUCAGCGACUUAUAUUCUGUAGCAAGGUUAACCGUAUAGGGGAGCCGCAGGGAAACCGAGUCUUAACUGGGCGUUAAGUUGCAGGGUAUAGACCCGAAACCCGGUGAUCUAGCCAUGGGCAGGUUGAAGGUUGGGUAACACUAACUGGAGGACCGAACCGACUAAUGUUGAAAAAUUAGCGGAUGACUUGUGGCUGGGGGUGAAAGGCCAAUCAAACCGGGAGAUAGCUGGUUCUCCCCGAAAGCUAUUUAGGUAGCGCCUCGUGAAUUCAUCUUCGGGGUAGAGCACUGUUUCGGCUAGGGGUCAUCCCGACUUACCAACCCGAUGCAAACUACGAAUACCGAAGAAUGUUAUCACGGGAGACACACGGCGGGUGCUAACGUCCGUCGUGAAGAGGGAAACAACCCAGACCGCCAGCUAAGGUCCCAAAGUCAUGGUUAAGUGGGAAACGAUGUGGGAAGGCACAGACAGCCAGGAUGUUGGCUUAGAAGCAGCCAUCAUUUAAAGAAAGCGUAAUAGCUCACUGGUCGAGUCGGCCUGCGCGGAAGAUGUAACGGGGCUAAACCAUGCACCGAAGCUGCGGCAGCGACACUAUGUGUUGUUGGGUAGGGGAGCGUUCUGUAAGCCUGCGAAGGUGACCUGUGAGGGUUGCUGGAGGUAUCAGAAGUGCGAAUGCUGACAUAAGUAACGAUAAAGCGGGUGAAAAGCCCGCUCGCCGGAAGACCAAGGGUUCCUGUCCAACGUUAAUCGGGGCAGGGUGAGUCGACCCCUAAGGCGAGGCCGAAAGGCGUAGUCGAUGGGAAACAGGUUAAUAUUCCUGUACUUGGUGUUACUGCGAAGGGGGGACGGAGAAGGCUAUGUUAGCCGGGCGACGGUUGUCCCGGUUUAAGCAUGUAGGCUGGUUGUCCAGGCAAAUCCGGAUAAUCAAGGCUGAGGUGUGAUGACGAGGCACUACGGUGCUGAAGUAACAAAUGCCCUGCUUCCAGGAAAAGCCUCUAAGCAUCAGGUAACAUUAAAUCGUACCCCAAACCGACACAGGUGGUCAGGUAGAGAAUACCAAGGCGCUUGAGAGAACUCGGGUGAAGGAACUAGGCAAAAUGGUGCCGUAACUUCGGGAGAAGGCACGCUGGUGUGUAGGUGAAGUCCCUGCGGAUGGAGCUGAGACCAGUCGAAGAUACCAGCUGGCUGCAACUGUUUAUUAAAAACACAGCACUGUGCAAACACGAAAGUGGACGUAUACGGUGUGACGCCUGCCCGGUGCCGGAAGGUUAAUUGAUGGGGUUAUCCGUAAGGAGAAGCUCUUGAUCGAAGCCCCGGUAAACGGCGGCCGUAACUAUAACGGUCCUAAGGUAGCGAAAUUCCUUGUCGGGUAAGUUCCGACCUGCACGAAUGGCGUAAUGAUGGCCAGGCUGUCUCCACCCGAGACUCAGUGAAAUUGAACUCGCUGUGAAGAUGCAGUGUACCCGCGGCAAGACGGAAAGACCCCGUGAACCUUUACUAUAGCUUGACACUGAACAUUGAGCCUUGAUGUGUAGGAUAGGUGGGAGGCUUUGAAGCGUGGACGCCAGUCUGCGUGGAGCCAACCUUGAAAUACCACCCUUUAAUGUUUGAUGUUCUAACGUUGGCCCCUGACCGGGGUUGCGGACAGUGUCUGGUGGGUAGUUUGACUGGGGCGGUCUCCUCCCAAAGCGUAACGGAGGAGCACGAAGGUUAGCUAAUCCUGGUCGGACAUCAGGAGGUUAGUGCAAUGGCAUAAGCUAGCUUGACUGCGAGCGUGACGGCGCGAGCAGGUGCGAAAGCAGGUCAUAGUGAUCCGGUGGUUCUGAAUGGAAGGGCCAUCGCUCAACGGAUAAAAGGUACUCCGGGGAUAACAGGCUGAUACCGCCCAAGAGUUCAUAUCGACGGCGGUGUUUGGCACCUCGAUGUCGGCUCAUCACAUCCUGGGGCUGAAGUAGGUCCCAAGGGUAUGGCUGUUCGCCAUUUAAAGUGGUACGCGAGCUGGGUUUAGAACGUCGUGAGACAGUUCGGUCCCUAUCUGCCGUGGGCGCUGGAGAAUUGAGGGGGGCUGCUCCUAGUACGAGAGGACCGGAGUGGACGCAUCACUGGUGUUCGGGUUGUCAUGCCAAUGGCACUGCCCGGUAGCUAAAUGCGGAAGAGAUAAGUGCUGAAAGCAUCUAAGCACGAAACUUGCCCCGAGAUGAGUUCUCCCUGAGACUUUAAGUCUCCUGAAGGAACGUUGAAGACGACGACGUUGAUAGGCCGGGUGUGUAAGCGCAGCGAUGCGUUGAGCUAACCGGUACUAAUGAACCGUGAGGCUUAACCUUACAACGCCGAAG